CGUUUGUCAUAAUUUUUUCCUGGUAGAGGAAUGGAAGACUUUUGGAUAGGAUGACCUGGGACUCAUAUUGAUCAAUAGUGAUCUGGGACUCAUAAAUAUUUGAUUUACAAUCCUUGGUCUCCUAUUAAAUCCAUGACCUAAGUCACAUUCUUACAAUUUUACUGGAAAAGGAGAAGUUAUUUCUGGUCAACUUGAACUACAUUCAAUCGCAAAGCCAGAUUCCCUGGGGAGUCAUGCUGAAAGCUAUCAACAGUCUGGCACCCCCUAGAGGCCGUCUGAAUAUUCCAUGAACCCUGACCUCUUCCCUUCAUCUUUAAAUUACAAGGAGCCUUGAGUACUCUCAGCCAUCUCAUCAGAGACCACCGUUGACCUUGUUCUCCUACCUUCCUGCUUUUCUUUGCUGGGUCACAUUUUCCCCACUCUCAGACCUUUUAAAAUAUAGAAAGGAAAAUCUGUUCUUAUGGAAGACACUUCUAAAAUGUUGAUUUCCAUUAGUUGUACAUUUUUGAGGGGCAGCCACUGACUGUGUCCGCCGUGUUUCCCCUCACACAGAAUACUGAGCACGGGGUAGCUGUUCAGUGAGUGGCUGGUAGGUGACAAAUUCUAGCCUUUGAAGUAAUUUUCUUAUCUCCCUGAUGUGAUGCUAUUUAAAUUGAAAUCUGAAGGAUGAAAUGGGUCUACUUGAAAGUCUAAUCGAUGAAAUCAAUUAGU
rnacentral:lncRNA from 1 species